UGUCACGUGUCACCUCUUAGCCUCGGGACCCGGAGCUCCAGGAAGGAAGUUCGGAUAGAACUUUAUCUAUUCCAUUUCCUUGGAACCUUUGGACCUCAGGACCCCAACAUCAUGAUCUCCAUUUCUGCACAGAUGCUGGUAGUCUUCAUUUCACUGCUUUUGGUUCUGCCUGGUGUGGAAGCAGUAGAAGCCGGAGAUGCAAUUGCUCUCUUGUUAGGUGUAGUCCUCAGCAUCACAGGCAUUUGUGCUUGCUUAGGGGUGUAUGCGAGAAAGAGAAAUGGACAGAUGUGACUUUUGCAAGGCUCCUUGGAUGGCAGACUUCACCCUGACACCCUCAAAACCUUUACUGAAGAUUGAUCCUCAAAGUUCCCGGCAAACCUAAAUAGGAUGAUUUCACAUUUGUAGUCUUUUCCCAUAAAAUGGGAACAAAUAGAGAUAUAUUAAAUGUGGUGGGAGAGGAAUUUUUAUAACAAAUAAUGCACUAAAAAAAUGCAGCCUGUCAUUUAUAUUCACUGCUUAAAAAAAAAGAAGAAAGAAAGAAGGCUUAAGUUUGUAAAAGUAGUAUUUCAUAAACAUUUUAAAAGCAUGUGAAGUGGAAAGAAGGAAGCUUUGUUCCAGAAUCUGGCAAAUCACCAUGGUUUAGUUAUAAUCACUGCCUCCUGAAUUGUUGAGGAACUCUUUACUCAGUGUUUGUAUUAGAUUACUUUUGUUUUAAUCUGUUAAAGUUAAUAUUUUACUUAGAUAUUGAAUAGCCAAAAAUUGAAACUUUUAUCUCUGGGGUGGGGAAGGGGAAGUUUAAAAAAAUGUAUUCAAGCUAUUAUUGAAAUGGAUGAGAUUUAAUGUAAAGAAAACAAAAAAUACCC